AUUGAACGCUGGCGGAAUGCUUUACACAUGCCAGUCGAACGGCAGCACGGGGGCAACCCUGGUGGCGAGUGGCGAACGGGUGAGUAAUACAUCGGAACGUGCCCGGUCGUGGGGGAUAACGUAGCGAAAGUUACGCUAAUACCGCAUACGAUCUGAGGAUGAAAGCGGGGGACCUUCGGGCCUCGCGCGAUCGGAGCGGCCGAUGUCAGAUUAGGUAGUUGGUGGGGUAAAGGCCUACCAAGCCGACGAUCUGUAGCUGGUCUGAGAGGACGACCAGCCACACUGGGACGGAGACACGGCCCAGACUCCUACGGGAGGCAGCAGUGGGGAAUUUUGGACAAUGGGCGCAAGCCUGAUCCAGCCAUUCCGCGUGCAGGACGAAGGCCUUCGGGUUGUAAACUGCUUUUGUAUGGAACGAAAAGGCUCUGGCUAAUACCUGGGGCUCAUGACGGUACCGUAAGAAUAAGCACCGGCUAACUACGUG
rnacentral:rRNA from 1 species